rnacentral:rRNA from 1 species
CAGCCGCCGCGGUAAUACGUAGGGUGCGAGCGUUAAUCGGAAUUACUGGGCGUAAAGCGUGCGCAGGCGGUUCGUUAAGACAGAUGUGAAAUCCCCGGGCUUAACCUGGGAACUGCAUUUGUGACUGGCGAGCUAGAGUAUGGCAGAGGGGGGUAGAAUUCCACGUGUAGCAGUGAAAUGCGUAGAGAUGUGGAGGAAUACCGAUGGCGAAGGCAGCCCCCUGGGCCAAUACUGACGCUCAUGCACGAAAGCGUGGGGAGCAAACAGGAUUAGAUACCCGGGUAGUCCCUGUCUCUUAUAC